UAAUAUUCAUAAAAUGAGGUAAAAUGUUUUCUAUGGUUUAUCCUCAUCCUUAAUUGGAGAAUUUGGGGAAUUGAAGCAGCAAUUUACGUAUUAUCACUUCUGCAAAAUCUCAUCCAUCAUCACUUCCGCAAAAUCCAUGAAUUAAUAUCACUGAUAGGAUUUAUCCAUUAUCACUUAAGUAUAUCACUAUAAGAUUCUUACAAUAAUACAACUCCAGUGAAUUAAUAUUGGAGGCGGGGAUUCCAGAGCUCUUGAAUGGGGUCGGCAAGGGAGUAGAGACCCACGUUGAAAAGCUUGAUUCUGAGAUUAGAGAUUUCUUGAAGCUUCUUGUCACUCUCACUCUAACUCAAGAAACAGAUCAAUGUAGGGAUCAAAUUUGAAUGGUGGGUGUCACAAAUUAACUUGAUCUAGAUUGAAGUGAAUGAUGAAGAAUUUUUGAAAUAUUUUGAUACACUUUUAUAUACAUUUGGUUUUGUGUGGAACUUGGUACAAAUUUUUAUUAUGUUGUUUUCUAAUUAGUAUGUAAAAGACAUGUUUUUUUGAAAUAUUUUCUAUGCACUUCAAUUAUUUA